UGGUAAUGAUGGCAGAGAGGUCACACCCGUUCCCAUACCGAACACGGAAGUUAAGCUCUCUAGCGCCGAUGGUAGUUGGGACCUUGUCCCUGUGAGAGUAGGACGUUACCAGGCA
rnacentral:rRNA from 1 species